AUAUAUAUAUAUAUAUAUAUAUAUAUAUAUUUUUUUUUUUUUGUAUUGUAUUGUAUAGUGUGAUGUUUCUAUUAGAGCUCGACAUAAAUGCAUAGUUUGUCUUGGGUGACAAAUGGCUUUGUUUCUAAAGGAGGGAAUUCAGGUCCGAGUUUUACAAUAAUUAAUUAAUUCUUUAUUCAAAAUGAGCUUCCAGAUCCAGUUUGUAGAUGAAGUCCAUGAAGGCCGAGCACCGCUGACAGUGACUGUGGCGAACACAGAGGAGGAGUUCAGGAACACCACAGUUAAAGACCUGCAGAGAAAACUCAUCCCAGAAGACGAGUAUGAAAACACCAUUCUGGUCUAUGAAUGUUCAACGCUGAAGAGAAAUCGCACACUCGGCUCCUAUAACAUUCAACAUGGCUCUGUUAUUAGAGGCUUAUGGCAUGGAGGUAUAAAUCCUGCUCAUAUUUAUAUUAUUGUAGAAAUCUCUUUAUAG
rnacentral:lncRNA from 1 species